rnacentral:rRNA from 1 species
ACGGGAGGCGGCAGUGGGGAAUAUUGCACAAUGGGGGAAACCCUGAUGCAGCGACGCCGCGUGAGUGAAGAAGUAUUUCGGUACGUAAAGCUCUAUCAGCAGGAAAGAAAAUGACGGUACCUGACUAAGAAGCCCCGGCUAACUACGUGCCAGCAGCCGCGGUAAUACGUAGGGGGCAAGCGUUAUCCGGAUUUACUGGGUGUAAAGGGAGCGUAGACGGCUUUGCAAGUCUGAAGUGAAAGCCCGGGGCUCAACCCCGGAACUGCUUUGGAAACUGUAGAGCUAGAGUGCAGGAGAGGUAAGUGGAAUUCCUAGUGUAGCGGUGAAAUGCGUAGAUAUUAGGAGGAACACCAGUGGCGAAGGCGGCUUACUGGACUGUAACUGACGUUGAGGCUCGAAGGCGUGGGGAGCAAACAGGAUUAGAUACCCUGGUA